rnacentral:rRNA from 1 species
UACGGGGGGGGCAAGCGUUGUUCGGAAUUACUGGGCGUAAAGGGUUUGUAGGUGGCCCGCUAAGUCACACGUGAAAUCCCUCAGCUUAACUGGGGAACUGCGUGUGAGACUGGCAGGCUCGAGGGCAGGAGAGGAACGCGGAAUUCCAGGUGUAGCGGUGAAAUGCGUAGAUAUCUGGAGGAACACCGGUGGCGAAGGCGGCAUCUUGGACCGGCAUUGACGCUGAGGCGCGAAAGCCAGGGGAGCAAACGGG